CCUACGGGCGGCAGCAGUGAGGAAUAUUGGUCAAUGGGCGCGAGCCUGAACCAGCCAAGUAGCGUGAAGGAUGACUGCCCUACGGGUUGUAAACUUCUGUUAUAAAGGAAUAAAGUGAGGCACGUGUGCCUUUUUGUAUGUACUUUAUGAAUAAGGAUCGGCUAACUCCGUGCCAGCAGCCGCGGUAAUACGGAGGAUCCGAGCGUUAUCCGGAUUUAUUGGGUUUAAAGGGAGCGUAGAGGGGUUGUUAAGUCAGUUGUGAAAGUUUGCGGCUCAACCGUAAAAUUGCAAUUGAUACUGGCAGUCUUGCGUACAGUUGAGGUCGGCGGACUUCGUGGUGUAGCGGUGACAUGCUUAGAUCUCACG
rnacentral:rRNA from 1 species